AUGUGGGAAGAAUGCUUGCCUCAUAUUGAGUUUGCUUAUAAUCGUUCAUUGCAUUCUACUACUAAGAUGUGCCCUUUUGAAAUUGUGUAUGGUUUCCUACCUCGUGCACCUAUUGAUUUGUUGCCUCUUCCAUCUUCGGAGAAGGUUAAUUUUGAUGCUAAACAACGUGCUGAAUUGAUCUUAAAAAUGCAUGAGUUAACUAAGGAAAACAUUGAGCGUAUGAAUGCUAAAUAUAAACUUGCUGGAGAGAAGGGUAGAAAACAUGUUGUGUUUGCACCUGGAGAUCUUGUUUGGUUACAUUUGCGUAAGGAUAGAUUUCCUGAUUUGCGCAAAUCAAAGCUAAUGCCACGUGCUGAUGGUCCUUUUAAGGUGUUAGAGAAAAUAAAUGAUAAUGCAUAUAAACUUGAGCUGCCUGCAGAUUUUGGGGUUAGUCCCACUUUUAACAUUGCAGAUUUGAAGCCUUAUUUGGGUGAGGAAGAUGAGCUUCCGUCGAGGACGACUUCAUUUCAAGAAGGGGAGGAUGAUGAGGACAUCAAUACCAUUGUUACACCCACAGGCCCUGCUGCUAUACAUACUGGACCAAUUACUAGAGCUCGCGCACGCCAAUUAAAUUACCAGGAAACAGACCCUCGUGGUCAGGUUGAUCGUGCUCCGGCGUGGUCGAUAACCUGUCGGAGUUGGUUUAGCGAUUGCUAA
rnacentral:rRNA from 1 species